rnacentral:lncRNA from 1 species
ACUGGAGAGAAGGCGCCGGGAGGAGGAGAAACUGCGGCCUGGAGUCUCCGGCCGGAGCCGGCGGAGCUGGAGCCGUGGCGGCCCCAGACUUCGGGGCGCCCGCCGAGUCCACGACAGAGCCACGGCCUCAGCCGCCCUGGGGCCCCCACCAGCCCCUCUCCCGCUCCUCUCCUAUGCGUGACCCCGCGCCGGUACCCACGAUUGAUUUUUGCGGUCCUCAGCCCUACUCCCUGGGGUGUCGCCCCCGCCCUGUUCCCAGAGGGCCGGCUGGCGAGGGACACCCGCGCGGUUCCCUCGACCUUCUGGCUGAGCGACCGACAGCGACUCGCCUUCUCUCCUGGGGAAAGGCUGCACCUCCGGCCCUCGGCGCCGCUGCGGUGGCGGCGCCCGGGGCCGCGCCCUGCGCCCCAGGGGAGCACCCGGCCUGGGGUCGGCCUCCUCUGUAAGAGGUGAGCGGACCUCCCGAGGAGGCCCGGUGACUCCUGCGGCCGCAGCGGCCCCUGCCCCAACCCCUUCUUGCACGGAGCCCCGCGGCGCCCUGGACACCCCGCCAGAUCUGCCGCAGAAGAGGGCCCCAGGCUUCCCCACCCGGCCUGGUUUAACAGUUUGGGUCAGUGAUGCCUAUUCAUCCUGACCCCUGGAGUGGAAAAGGCCAGAAAAGGUCUUGAAAGACUUCCCUGUCCUUGCCCGUUAGAAUAGGCCCCAGCGCGCUCCAAGGUGUACAAAGCUGUGCCAGGGCUGAAAGGCUGCCCGAGAAUGUUUCUGUAUCCAAAUCCCUAAUCCCAUUUCAGUAAACGCGCAAAAGUUUCAGAAACACACACAAUCUGGUUCCCAGUAGAACUCUGCAUCAUUUAUCUUAUUGAAGUCCUUGACUGUAAAAUCAGACGGGUGCAAAUGGGGUUAGAAAGAAGAUGGGCUUCACACGGGGAAGAAGGGGACAGAUGGGGUGGGACAGGGCGACAUCUGGAAAGGAUGAAUAGACAAGAAGUAGCUAUGGGAGGAGAGGGAAAUCGGAUUCGCGUGGAGGAAGGUACCGUUCUAUUCCACACACACACAGCUUUAAGCAUUUAGUAGGAGGAUCAUAAAAUGCAUAUGGAGAUAUACAGAUAGAUGGAAAGGAAAGAAAUGGGUGUGAGCAUUGACAGAAGUGAUAGGAAUAAAACAUCAACAGAUGAUUAAGGAAGGGCAGUUA